rnacentral:rRNA from 1 species
GCGGAAGGAUCAUUACCAUUACCUCAACUGGCGGGUUUCAAUUGUUCUUCGGUUCAAUUGACUCUCACCUGUUUGACGUUACCCAUGCCUUUUUGCGUACAGUUUGUUUUCCCAGCAGGGCAUUACGCCCCUACGGGAUAUCAAUCCACCCAUUGUAUUUGCAGUCAAUGUCUGAAAAAUAAUAAUAAUUACAACUUUUAACAACGGAUCUCUUGGUUCUGGCAUCGAUGAAGAACGCAGCGAAAUGCGAUAAGUAGUGUGAAUUGCAGAAUUCAGUGAAUCAUCGAAUCUUUGAACGCACAUUGCGCCCCUUGGUAUUCCAUGGGGCAUGCCUGUUCGAGCGUCAUUUGUACCCUCAAGCUUUGCUUGGUGUUGGGUGUUUGUCCCGCGCUCUUUUGCGCAAGACUCGCCUUAAAUCAAUUGGCAGCCGGCAUGUUAGCCUGGAGCGCAGCACAUUUUGCGCCCCUUGCUUGCUUGUGUUGGCCCCCAUCAAGUCCAUAUAUUUGCUCUUGACCUCGGAUCAGGUAGGGAUACCCGCUGAACUUAAGCAUAUCAAU